GCUAAGUCGUGGCAAGGAGACUAGGGAAUACGAAGGGGGGUAGCGUUGGUCGGAAUUACUGGGCGGAAAGCGCACGUAGGCGGAUUGUUAAGUCGGGGGUGAAAGCCUGGAGCUCAACUCCAGAACUGCCUUCGAUACUGGCGAUCUCGAGUUCGGGAGAGGUGAGUGGAACUGCGAGUGUAGAGGUGAAAUUCGUAGAUAUUCGCAAGAACACCAGUGGCGAAGGCGGCUCACUGGCCCGAUACUGACGCUGAGGUGCGAAAGCGUGGGGAGCAAACAGGAUUAGAUACCCCAGUAGUC
rnacentral:rRNA from 1 species